rnacentral:rRNA from 1 species
UACAGAGGGGGCAAGCGUUGUUCGGAAUUACUGGGCGUAAAGGGCGCGUAGGCGGCCUGUUAAGUCGAACGUGAAAUCCCAGGGCUCAACCCUGGAACUGCCUCUGAUACUGGCAAUCUGGAGAUCGGGAGAGGUUGGUGGAAUUCCGAGUGUAGAGGUGAAAUUCGUAGAUAUUCGGAGGAACACCAGAAGCGAAGGCGGCCGACUGGCCCGAUACUGACGCUGAGGCGCGAAAGCGUGGGGAGCAAACAGG